UCCGCUGACGUGCGGGCCCCUGGCUGGGCCCCCUCCGCACCGCCCGGAGAGCGCACCCCUGACUCAGCGCCUUCUGCGGGGGCCUGGCCGGGGUCAGCGCAGUCCCAGCCGGUCUGGACCGGAUGCCUCCUGCCCCGGGGGUCCAGGGCCAGGCCCGGUCGCCGGAGCGGACAGCGUCCAUGUUGGCGAGCGCCCUCUCCACGGGAGAGCCCGGCUCCAGUCAAGCCGCAGCGAGGCCGUGAGGAUCGAGCCUUGGGUCCGGGGCCUGCGGUGGGGCCUGAGGUCUGCGUUUCUGACGCGUUGGGGGCCCGCCGGCUGCGGAAACGGCAGAGAGAACAGCCUCAGUUUAUCUUUUUGCAAAGCUCUCCAACACGGGACUGUCAGGGACGCCAGCCACACCCUCCCACGUGGAGCUCCUGAGUCCGGGCGAUGGGUAGGAUUGCAUCGUCCCAUGUUACAGACGAGCAAACCGAGACCUGAGGAAGGUGCGGUGACUGGUGGCGGGUUUUGCAGUCAGGGCAGGGCCGCGGGAGCCCAGGAAGGGCUGUUGGGGGAUGCGCUCCCCGUUCUGUGUGUCUGUGUCCACGCACACAGGUGUGCGCCUGUGCGUGUGCGUGUCUGUACGUGAGCAUGACGCGCGUGCCUGUGCAGCUGUGUGGGCGGGGCUGCGGGUGCUGCAGGAGCAGGAAUUGGGGCCCAGUGGGGAGCGGAGGGUGGCGCCUGGGCCCUGUGCCGAGGGCUCUGGCCUUGUCCUGCAGCGCACGGGCGACAUGGUGGCCGUUUUGGGUGGGAAGCGUGUGGGCACUGAGAGCAGCUGAGGGUGGAUCUGGGAGAGGCUCGGAGGCGGGGGGAGGCCCGCAGCUCUGACCCGGCCCGGCCCUCGGAGCCCAGAUGUGCGGGCGGCCCGCUGGAAGUCACUGGAGCUGAGGAGCUGCGUGUGGGGUCCUCGCGUCUCCGCCGUGAGUCUCAUUGGCCCUGGCCUCCAGCUGACAGCCACAGCCCUGGGCCUGGAAGGCGCUCUGCCUCCCCUGGCAAAGCCGAGUGUCAGCCACCUCCCUUCCUUGCCGGGUCAUUCGUGGGCGCGGAGAGAGAAGUCAGCACCCGGCGGCAGGAAAAGAAAAAGCCUGGGGCGCAGCUAGCUGCCCAGGGACCCGGAACCCGAACCCGGGGAGCGAAGGCCGUGGCCAGGGCCCGGGCUCUUGAGCUGCGUCCAGCGCCUGGGCUGCGGCCCCAGGUCCCAGGGGGCGUCUCGGGGUCGCAGGGCAGGGAGGUGUUUGCUCAGGAGGGAGCUCAGGUGAGACCCUCAGCGCCGGAGUCCGAGCUGGUCACGCACCCUCACCCGGAAGGCGCCUGGCCCUGCAGUGUUACCUGUUUCCAAACGCCCGCAGGGACCCGGGGUCGCCAGGCCUCCCGCUGGCCCUGGGACGGAGCAUCGGCCAGAGGGUACGGCCGGGCGAGUGCAGGUCUAAGUUUAACACCAGACACCAGCUCAUGUCACACUCGCCCCUGGGAGUGAGUUUCCUGUCCUGUGUGAGAGUCAGUGUGUGCAUGAGAGUGUGAGUGAAUGUAAGCAUAUGUGUGUGUAAGUGUGUGUGUGAGCGUGUGUGUGAGCAUGUGU